UUCUGACCGUAAACGAUGCCAACUAGCGAUCCGCCGGCGGAUUCCAAACGCCCUGGUGGGGAGCUUCCCGGAAACGAAAGUCUUCCGGUUCCGGGGGAAGUAUGGUUGCAAAGCUGAAACUUAAAGGAAUUGACGGAAGGGCACCACCAGGAGUGGAGCCUGCGGCUUAAUUUGACUCAACACGGGAAAACUCACCCGGCCCGGACACCGCGAGGAUUGACAGAUUGAUAGCUCUUUCAUGAUUCGGUGGAUGGUGGUGCAUGGCCGUUCUUAGUUCGUGGAGCGAUUUGUCUGGUUUAUUCCGAUAACGAGCGAGACUCUAGCCUACUAACUAGUCCGCAUGUUCGCUUGCUGCAUGCUUGGGACUUCUUAGAGGGAUUUUCGGCGUUUCAGCCGCACGAAACUGAGCAAUAACAGGUCUGUGAUGCCCUUAGAUGUCCGGGGCUGCACGCGCGCUACACUGGCGAAAUCAGCGUGCCUGUCCUCUCGCGAAAGCGACUGGUAAACCGGUGAAAAUUCGCCGUGAUUGGGAUCGGAAAUUGCAAUUAUUUUCCGUGAACGAGGAAUUCCAAGUAAGUGCGAGUCAUCAACUCGCGUUG
rnacentral:rRNA from 1 species